AGGAAGGCUCGUCCGCUCUGGGUUAGUCGGGUCCUAAGCUGAGGCCGACAGGCGUAGGCGAUGGAUAACAGGUUGAUAUUCCUGUACCACCUAUAAUCGUUUUAAUCGAUGGGGGGACGCAGUAGGAUAGGCGAAGCGUGCGAUUGGAUUGCACGUCUAAGCAGUAAGGCUGAGUAUUAGGCAAAUCCGGUACUCGUUAAGGCUGAGCUGUGAUGGGGAGAAGACAUUGUGUCUUCGAGUCGUUGAUUUCACACUGCCGAGAAAAGCCUCUAGAUAGAAAAUAGGUGCCCGUACCGCAAACCGACACAGGUAGUCAAGAUGAGAAUUCUAAGGUGAGCGAGCGAACUCUCGUUAAGGAACUCGGCAAAAUGACCCCGUAACUUCGGGAGAAGGGGUGCUCUUUAGGGUUAACGCCCAGAAGAGCCGCAGUGAAUAGGCCCAAGCGACUGUUUAUCAAAAACACAGGUCUCUGCUAAACCGUAAGGUGAUGUAUAGGGGCUGACGCCUGCCCGGUGCUGGAAGGUUAAGAGGAGUGGUUAGCUUCUGCGAAGCUACGAAUCGAAGCCCCAGUAAACGGCGGCCGUAACUAUAACGGUCCUAAGGUAGCGAAAUUCCUUGUCGGGUAAGUUCCGACCCGCACGAAAGGCGUAACGAUUUGGGCACUGUCUCAACGAGAGACUCGGUGAAAUCAUAGUACCUGUGAAGAUGCAGGUUACCCGCGACAGGACGGAAAGACCCCGUGGAGCUUUACUGUAGCCUGAUAUUGAAAUUCGGCACAGCUUGUACAGGAUAGGUAGGAGCCUUUGAAACGUGAGCGCUAGCUUACGUGGAGGCGCUGGUGGGAUACUACCCUAGCUGUGUUGGCUUUCUAACCCGCACCACUUAUCGUGGUGGGAGACAGUGUCAGGCGGGCAGUUUGACUGGGGCGGUCGCCUCCUAAAAGGUAACGGAGGCGCUCAAAGGUUCCCUCAGAAUGGUUGGAAAUCAUUCAUAGAGUGUAAAGGCAUAAGGGAGCUUGACUGCGAGACCUACAAGUCGAGCAGGGUCGAAAGACGGACUUAGUGAUCCGGUGGUUCCGCAUGGAAGGGCCAUCGCUCAACGGAUAAAAGCUACCCCGGGGAUAACAGGCUUAUCUCCCCCAAGAGUUCACAUCGACGGGGAGGUUUGGCACCUCGAUGUCGGCUCAUCGCAUCCUGGGGCUGUAGUCGGUCCCAAGGGUUGGGCUGUUCGCCCAUUAAAGCGGUACGCGAGCUGGGUUCAGAACGUCGUGAGACAGUUCGGUCCCUAUCCGUCGUGGGCGUAGGAAAUUUGAGAGGAGCUGUCCUUAGUACGAGAGGACCGGGAUGGACAUACCUCUGGUGUACCAGUUGUCGUGCCAACGGCAUAGCUGGGUAGCUAUGUGUGGACGGGAUAAGUGCUGAAAGCAUCUAAGCAUGAAGC
rnacentral:rRNA from 1 species